rnacentral:rRNA from 1 species
UGCAGAAUCCCGUGAACCAUCGAGUCUUUGAACGCAAGUUGCGCCCAAUGCCAUUAGGCUGAGGGCACGUCUGCCUGGGCGUCACAUAUCGAAGUCUCUUGCCAAUUUCCUAUUGAUAGGUACUGUGCAGGGCGAAUGUUGGCCUCCCGUGAGCUACAUUGUCUCAUGGUUGGUUGAAAAUCGAGACCUUGGUAGUGUGUGCCAUGAUAGAUGGUGGAUGUGCGACCCACGAGACCAAAAAUCAUGUCUCCUCUAUCAAAUUUAGUCUCUUUUACCCAUAUGCGUUCUAAACGCUCGUGAUGAGACCUCAGGUCAGGCGGGGCUACCCGCUGAAUUUAAGCAUAUCAAUAAGCGGAGGAAAAGAAACUAACAAGGAUUCCCUUAGUAACGGCGAGCGAACCGGGAUAAGCCCACCAUGAGAAUCGACCGCCCUCGGCGUUCGA